rnacentral:rRNA from 1 species
GACGAACGCUGGCGGCGUGCCUAAUACAUGCAAGUAGAACGCUGAAGAGAGGAGCUUACUCUUCUUGGAUGAGUUGCGAACGGGUGAGUAACGCGUAGGUAACCUGCCUUGUAGCGGGGGAUAACUAUUGGAAACGAUAGCUAAUACCGCAUAACAAUGGAUGACACAUGUCAUUUAUUUGAAAGGGGCAAUUGCUCCACUACAAGAUGGACCUGCGUUGUAUUAGCUAGUAGGUGAGGUAAUGGCUCACCUAGGCGACGAUACAUAGCCGACCUGAGAGGGUGGUCGGCCAAACUGGGACUGAGACACGGCCCAGACUCCUAAGGGAGGCAGCAGUAGGGAAUCUUCGGCAAUGGGGGCAAACCUGACCGAGCAACGCCGCGUGAGGGAAGAAGGGUUUCGGAUCGUAAAGCUCUGUUGUAAGUCAAGAACGGGUGUGAGAGUGGAAAGUUCACACUGUGACGGUAGCUUACCAGAAAGGGACGGCUAACUACGUG